rnacentral:rRNA from 1 species
GAUGAACGCUGACAGAAUGCUUAACACAUGCAAGUCUUUGGCGAAGCUGUGCUUGCACAGCCUAGCCAAGGCGGACGGGUGAGUAACGCGUAAGGAACUUGCCCUGCAGUCAGGGAUAACAGACGGAAACGACUGAUAAGACCUGGUAAAGUCAGGCGGACUCAUGUCCAGCCUGAUGAAAAGAGAUGCUGCAGGAGAGCCUUGCGUCCUAUUAGCUUGUUGGUGGGGUAACGGCCCACCAAGGCGAUGAUAGGUAGCCGGCCUGGGAGGGUGGACGGCCACAAGGGGACUGAGAUACGGCCCUUACUCCUACGGGAGGCAGCAGUGGGGAAUAUUGGACAAUGGGGGCAACCCUGAUCCAGCAAUUCUGUGUGCAAGAUGAAGGUUUUCGGAUUGUAAAGUGCUUUCAGCAGGGAAGAAAAAAAUGACGGUACCUGCAGAAGAAGCGACGGCUAAAUACGUG